UAUUGGUGACUCAAAUGGACAGAAAGCAAACACCUAAAGGAACCCCUCAUUCAGAGACAUGUUGCCUGGAGCCAGAGCUGUAAUCUUGAGACCAAGAAGGAAAGACCAAGAGAACUAUAGAGGUGAAGAUCCACCCAAACAAUGCCAUCAGCUACAAGAUGUGACUGUUUAGGCAAAAAACUGUGGACUAUCCAUGAUGGGUUUUGCCACAUAAAUUCUCCAGAAAACUGCCAACACUCUGUUUUCCUCCAAUGGUGAGAC